GGGUCGACGGCGUAGUUAGUUAUCGCAUCUGUCUAACAUUGAUAUUCGCAAUGUUUCGCGUGCACAGAAGGUCCUCAGUUUGAACCUGGGUCGACUCG